rnacentral:rRNA from 1 species
AGGCAGCAGGCGCGCAAUUACCCACUCCCAGCACGGGGAGGUAGUGACGAAAAAUAACGAUACGGGACUCAUCCGAGGCCCCGUAAUCGGAAUGAGUAUACUUUAAAACUUUUCCCGAGGAUCAAUUGGAGGGUAAGUCUGGUGCCAGCAGCCGCGGUAAUUCCAGCUCCAAUAGCGUAUAUUAAAGUUGUUGCGGUUAAAAAGCUCGUAGUCGAAUCUGUGUCCCGCGCCGCUGGUUCAUCGCUCGCGGUGUUCAACUGGCGUGUCUCGCGGGACGUCCUGCCGGUGGGCGCUCGUAUCGUUUCGGCGGUGCGUGGCCCAACUCGUAGCCGUCUCGCGCGGUUGCGAAUCCCAUCGCGGUGCUCUUUAUUGAGUGUCGAGGUGGGCCGGCACGUUUACUUUGAACAAAUUAGAGUGCUUAAAGCAGGCCAAUUUUGCCUGAAUAUUGUGUGCAUGGAAUAAUAGAAUAGGACCUCGGUUCUAUUUUGUUGGUUUUCGGAACCCCGAGGUAAUGAUUAAUAGGAACGGAUGGGGGCAUUCGUAUUGCGACGUUAGAGGUGAAAUUCUUGGAUCGUCGCAAGACGGACAGAAGCGAAAGCAUUUGCCAAAAACGCUUUCAUUGAUCAAGAACGAAAGUUAGAGGUUCGAAGGCGAUCAGAUACCGCCCUAGUUCUAACCAUAAACGAUGCCAGCUAGCGAUCCGCCGACGUUCCUCCGAUGACUCGGCGGGCAGCUUCCGGGAAACCAAAGCUUUUGGGUUCCGGGGGAAGUAUGGUUGCAAAGCUGAAACUUAAAGGAAUUGACGGAAGGGCACCACCAGGAGUGGAGCCUGCGGCUUAAUUUGACUCAACACGGGACACCUUACCAGGCCCGGACACCGGAAGGAUUGACAGAUUGAGAGCUCUUUCUUGAUUCGGUGGGUGGUGGUGCAUGGCCGUUCUUAGUU